UAACACGUGGGUAAUCUACCGUAAGAUGGGGAAUAACCCCUCGAAAGAGGGGCUAAUACCGCAUAACAUUUCAUUGACUCCGGUCGAAGUUUUUAAAGGUGACCUCUAUUUAUAAGUUACCGUCUUAUGUUGAGCCUGCGCAUUAUUAGCUAGUUGGUAGGGUAAAAGCCUACCAAGGCUACGAUAAUUAGCUGGUCUGAGAGGAUGAUCAGCCACACUGGAACUGAGACACGGUCCAG
rnacentral:rRNA from 1 species